CUCUUCCUGCUCGGCGGGGUCGCGGCGGCCCCCGCUCUAGAGAGCGUGCGCCAGGGGGAAACGCAGGAGCCACGGGUGUGGCACAGAACGGAGCCCAGGGCCACAGCUGAGAGUCUUAGGAAACCCGGGAACCUGGAUGCAGGUGCGGUGGCUGGGAAGGACUGCGCCCUUUGGGAACCGUCUGGUCGACCGCGCCUUCUCUAAGCCAGCAGCACAGUUCCCACGUUUUCCUGCGGUCUUGUCAACAAAACUGCUGUUUGAGAUCUGUUUCCUACAACUAAUAAGGGAUUUGCAUUUCCAUUUCUUCGUUCUCACUGAAGCAACCGAAGCAAGUGGUAUAAUGCAGCUUUUCUACUUGAUUAAAAACCGCCAGGGCGUGAGCCACUGCACCCGGCCCCUUGUGUUAUUUUGAGGCUGGUUUAUUUGUUUCACCCAAAUACCAGCUAAAUCACAUCUCAAGACUAGGCUCCUCUGCCCACAUGGAGCUUCCACUUCUGCUGCCUUCCUUGAGUAUCUUGGCUUGAUAGUAAAGACAGAAUGGUUCUUUUCAAAGUAGUUACUCCAUAAAUGUUGGUUAGAAUGAAUGGUUCUCUCAGACAAAUUUCAUUCAUUCAUUCAUUAACACACAUUUAUAUCAUGGUGCCUUCCUCAUGUCUACAAACAGCAAGACAGACAAGGCCCUUUUCUUCAUAGAACUGAUAUUCUGGCAGUGACAAACACUACAAAAGUAACCAAACAAGACAUCUGCAGAUAGUGACAAGUGUGAUGAUAGUAAAUUAAUGGGUAUAGCACUAAACAGUGAUUGUGUAGAGGGUGCUUUAGAUCUGAUCACCAGGAGGCCUCAUUGAGGAAGUCACAUUUGAGCUGAGACCUGAAUACUGGGAAGAAACCAGCAGGGGAAGAUCUGGGGAAAGAACAUUCCAAUCAGCAGGUGCAUUUAUACCAGUAGGUGCCACAGUGCUUGCAUCUAUAAAAACAUCCCCCAAUAGGGACGGUCAUGAUGCUUAAUCCUGUCUUGUUCUAGGAAGAAAUAAUAAUUAUUAGUGGAUACGUUAACUUAUUGGAGUAUAAAAAGCUCUUCCUUCUCAUUAAGAGAUAUAUUUGUUUAAAAUUUUACUUUUAUAUGUUUAGUAGUCAUAGAAAUUUGUAGUAUAUUUAUGUUAUUUUGAUCAAUUAUGUACAAAAAAUAAUUAUAAUGAUCACCCAAUCUAGAAUAAAUAUUUCAUACCUAGAAUUUGAUGUCACAGGAUGUUCUUAAUUUUUAAAAUUUAAAAAUGAUCAAAAUUGUGUUGAUCAACAAAAGAUAUUUAAGCAUAAAAAUAUACUACAUUAGGAUAAAAUUCUUAGGAAUGUAGAUUGAAAUAAGAGUUUAGGGAGAAAAUGUAAUGAGAUAAAAUUUCUCAUUGUUAAAGAAAAACUUGUAUAUUUGUUUAAAUGGAUGAUGCUGGGUCAAAUUGCGAUGAUAUUUAGAUUCCAUUUGGUACAUUUUAAAGAGGGAUGACCUGCUAAUCUUUACGAUGCGUGGGAAAAUAACAAUUUGCUAUUCUUUCAACUUAUAUAGAAAAAUGACAUGCAAGUAUGUUGCAACUUUUUCAGUUUCCUUUGAGGAAGUAUGAGAGCAAAAAUAUUUGAAAAUUAUUGGUCUAGAAAAACCUUCCCUUUACAAAUUCAAACAUGUAGGUAAACUUAGGUAAAGGAAAGCAGAAAAUUAACGUUUUUGAGAGUCAAUUAUGAAUCAGUUACUUGAUAAUAUUAUUUUUUAUUGUUGCUACUACCAUCUAUCAAUGAGUAUCAUGAGCCACACAUUAUGGAUUAAUGUAGUUCUCACAACUACUCUAUAAAACACAAACUUUUACAGUAGUUUCCCCUUAUCCACGGGGGAUAUGUUCCAAGACCCCCAGGGGAUGUCUGAAACUGCAGAUAGUACUGAACCUUAUACAUACCAUGUUUUUUUCCUAUACCUACAUACCUAUGAUAAAGUUGAAUUCAUAAAUUAGUCACAGGUAGAGAUGAACAACAAUAACUAAUAAUAAAAUAGAACAAUUAUAACAGUAUGCCGGCAUCCCUAUCUUGUGCUUUGGGGCCAUAAUUAAGUAAAGUAAGGGUUCCUUGAACACAGAAAGGGUUCCUAAGAGAACAAUUUGGGGAAUGUAGUCAUCGUGGAGCCACUGGACAAAGGGAGCAUUCACCUCCGGAGAGGAAGGGGUCAGGGACAGCAUGAGAUUUAAUGGCAUGCAAUUGAAAACUUACUAUGUAUUUCUGGAAUUUUCCACAUAAUAUUUUAAAACCGCAGUUGAUCUCGGGUAACUGAAAGCUUGGAAAGCAAAACCACAGAUUAGUGGGGCACUAGUGUACUUUAAUUACCUUAUAGAUGACACUGAGAUUAAGGAUCUUGGCCAAAGUGACACAUCUGGAGAAUAUAGUAGCCAGGAUGAAAAUCCAGUUCAGCCUGCAUGCAAAAUCUUCUUUCCAUUUAGCUGUUUUGAGCCUCACUUCCCCCACUCUCUUUCCACUCUAUAAGCUUUUGAUAGCUCAUUGGAUAGAAAAUAGGUUCUCUUAAUCACUUAUUUUUUUGUCACCUUCACUAACAAAUAUUUAAAAUCUAUGGUUGAAUAGACUGUAUUUGAGAUUUAUUGCACACCGAAGAACCCAGGAUUCUAUUAGUUCCCUGCCAGGAGCAGUGGCUCAUGCCUGUAAUUACAGCACUUUUGGAGGCUGAGGCGGGCAGAUUGCUUGAGCCUGGGAGUUUGAGACCAGCCUGGACAACAUGGAGAAACCCCAUCUCUACUAAAAAAAUACAAAAAUAGACGGGCAUGGUAGUACCUGUAGUCCCAGCUACUCAGGAGGCUGAGGUGGGAGGAUCACCUGAGCCAAGGAGGUCAGGCUUCAGUGAGCCCAGAUCAUGCCACUGCACUCCAGCCUGGGCAAUAGAGUAAGACCCUGUCUCAAAAAAAAAAUAACAUAAUUCUCAUUUUUUAUAGCCUUCAGUUAUGAUUUAGAAAAGGUUUAUCUUCAUUUGGAGUUAAUUAUAUUCAAUUGGCUGCCUCUGAACUCUAACUUUCUCUGACAAGCCUUUCUGUCAGAUAGAUCAAGACUGGGUGAAAAGUUCUUUAAAAGUUCAGAGUUCUCUCUCUUUCAUUACGUUUCUUUUAUAUAUUUAUUUAUUUAUUUAUUUAUUAAAAAAGAGUCUCGCUCUGUUGCCCAGGCUGGAGUACAGUGGCACAAUCUUGGCUCAGUGCAACCUCUGCCUCCCAGGUUCAAGCAAUUCUCCCAUCUCAGCCUCCUGAGUAGCUGGGAUUACAGGCAUGCGCCACCACACCUGGCCAAUUUUUGUAUUUUUAGUAGAUACAGGUUUUCACCAUGUUGGCCAGGCUGGUUUCGAACUCCUGUCCUCAGGUAAUCCACCCACCUUGGCCUCCCAAAGUGCUGGGAUUACAGGUGUGAGGCACCGUGCCUGGCCUACAUUUCUUUUUAUAAUUUGUAAUACUGACUGUAUAUACUCUCAUUGUAAUCCUUAGUGAUAUAUACUGACACAUAGCUCUCCUAUUAUUGUGUUGCACCAAGGUCCAAAUUAUGAGGUUGAGCGUCAGCCAGGAAAAUCUUGUGUUUUCCAUAAAAUACGUAUGUCAAAAGACAGCGCUGUUGUGCCAAUUUUAAAAAGUAACUAUGUAGCACACCCACGUUCAAAACAGCAUUAUUCACAAUAGCCAAAAGAUGGAAGCAACCCAAGUGUCCAUCAAUGGCUGAAUGGAUAAGCAAAACUAGGUAAAUACAUGCAAGAAUAUUAGCCUAAAAAAGGAAGUUCUGAGACAUGCAACAACAUGGAUGAACCUUGAAAACAUGGCACUAAGUGAAAUAAACCAGUCACAAAAGGACACUGUGAUUGCACCACUGCACUCCAGCCUGGGCGACAGAGUGAGACCCUGUCUUAGAAAACAAAAAACAAAACAAAACAAAGCAAAAGACAAAUACUGUAUGAUUCCACCUACAUGCAGUACCUAGAGUAGUCAAAUUCAUAGAAAGUACAGUCGUGGUUGCUACGGGCUGGGGGAUGGGGAAAAGGGAAGUGAGUGCUUAACGAGUACAGAGUUUCAGUUUAGGAAGAUAAAAAGGUUCUGAAGAUGGACGGUGGUGAUGGUUGCACAGCAACGUGAGUGUACUUAAUGCCACAAAUUGUGCACUUUAAAAUGGUUAAAAUGGUAAAUUAAUGCCAUGUGUAUUUUACCACAAUUUAAAAAAAGACUAUACAGAACCUAUUGGUCUUUACAAAACAAAGCAAUGAAUCUUAGAUUUUUUUCCAAAAAAGUCAAUUAUAUAUAUUUUAAGUGCAAAAGCAAACUAAAGGAAGAACAUUUUGUUAAUUAGGAAGUGACAUGUUUGUAGAUGUGAUAGAACAUAGACACCUAGGUGAUUUAGUAUUUAUUCAAUAUACAAAGAACUACUAAUGUACCAUGAAAUGUAAUACAUAUUACGUUUGAUUUUUUAAGGAGGAAUUUUCAUUUUAACUCAAUUUGAGUAUUAAUAGCUAAGCCAUUCAACAUAAGUAAACUAAGAGUACUUCAUAGUAUAUAGCUAACAUACUUUCCUGCAACUGUGUUUAUUGCAUUAUCCUUUUUUAUUUCAGGAUUUCCAGGUCCCAGAUGAAGAGAUAAUUCUACUUACUGGAUAUAGGAUGCAUUAGAUCUUCUUACCUUAAAAAAAAAAAAAAAGGCAGCAAUGAUCAAAAUACUAAUAAAUUACUCACAGACU
rnacentral:lncRNA from 1 species